AGGAUGAAUGCUGGCGGCGCGCCUAACACAUGCAAGUCGAGCGGAAAGGCCCUUCGGGGUACUCGAGCGGCGGACGGCUGAGUAACGCGUGGGAACAUGCCCCAAAGUGAGGAAUAACUGCCCGAAAGGGUAGCUAAUGCCGCAUAUGAUCUUAGGAUUAAAGGAUUUAUCCGCUUUGGGAGUGGCCCGCGUACGAUUAGGUAGUUGGUGAGGUAAAGGCUCACCAAGCCCACGAUCGUUAACUGGUCUGAGAGGAUGAUCAGUCAGACUGGAACUGAGACACGGUCCAGACUCCUACGGGAGGCAGCAGUGAGGAAUCUUCCACAAUGGGCGAAAGCCUGAUGGAGCGACGCCGCGUGCAGGAUGAAGGCCUUCGGGUUGUAAACUGCUUUUAUAAGUGAAGAAUAUGACGGUAACUUAUGAAUAAGCACCGGCUAACUACGCGCCAGCAGCCGC
rnacentral:rRNA from 1 species